CGGGUGUUACAUGUUUUUUUCCCCCCAUGGAAAUGCUUAUUUCAUUGGGCAAGGACGUGGUCAAGGAGUACCUAGUGGAAUUUGUGGAUACAUUUCUCACCAAUAAGGUAUGGAAUUUCAGAAGAGAUGAAUUAAAGACUUAUAGAAUAGAACGAGCCUCUACAGUCCGAGACCAAUGGUUUCAAUUUGUAAUCAAUAGGAUGCUGACAUUUGUACUCAGCGAGAUGGCUACAGCUGCAUACAACCAGUUGGGCAUAAAAGGUUUAAAAAACAAGAUCACAGAGAUUUUUAGAAAGCUGAUGCAACGCCAACCAGCACAAGUGAGUGCGGCUUAAUUUCUGCUUAUGAAUCCAGCUGGGUAUGUACACAAUCCUCACAAAUUCUUAAGAGAACCUGACAUAUGUUUAUGAGACUACCCUGUGGGAAGUUAAGAGGAGAAUGCGGCUUCAUUACUAAAUUUAAAUCACAUACUUGUGGUAAUUAUCUUCAGGAGGACAUACAGAUUCCUGCCUUGGCUGCCUGGACUGAUUGCUCACUUGCUGUUUCUACAACCACUGGCCCAAAUUUUGAUUCUGAACUCUUAUUUCAUCAUCAUAUUAACUCCACCUCCCUGACAAAGAAGACACACUUGAACCUGAGAAAAUCAAGGAUUCCCCAACAGGAAUGUGGCCUCAGGGCUGGUUCUCCGGUGUCUUCCUUCUCAUUUUGGGGAUGAGUCUUUGAUUGGGAUCUGAGCAAGCAGGCAUCCUGAUCUGGAGCAAACCCAUGACAAUAUGUCCAUGGGGGCAAGAGGAAUCGUGACCUGAGACCAUCUACAUCAGCAGUGGCCCUAGGAAGCUGGCCCCACAUGUAGUUUCUCAGUUGGAUCACUCACCACAGGAUGGCAGUGAGCACCUUGCUCUUCUGGGAGGACAUAUGGAUUUCUGCCUUGGCUGCAUGAACUGAAUCCUUAACUGUGGUAUCAUCAACCACUGACGGGAAAUGUUGAUUCCGAACUUUACUUCCAUCGUCAUACUAACUCCGCCUCCCUGACGAAGAAGACGGAACUUGAAACAGAGAAUGCAGGAUUGCCCAACAGGAAUGUAGUUUCUGGGCUGGUUCUGUGGUGCUUUCCUCAUUUUGAGGAAACAUGACCAGAGACCGUCCGCACCAGCAGUGGCUCUCAGAAGCCAGCCCCAAGGGUAGCUUCUGACUUGGGUCACUCACCACAGGACAGCCAUGAGCACCUCACACAGCUGGGAGUUGUGGUGCUGACUGUUUCAGGCAUAUGUCUGCUGUGGGACCAUGGACAUUUCUCCUACAGUGUGCUGGGAUGUGUUAAGGGGGUGCACAGCUGGCACACUGUCUCUGGGUUGAGAGAAAGAUAAAGAUAAGGAAUGUGGAAUUAAAUGGCUGAUAUAAAGUGCCACUGAGCCUUCACUCAGCAACUGAAAGCAAAGUAUGAGAGUUGAUGUGAUCCUGUCCUCCUGCAGCUGAAGGACAGGCAGAGUUGAAGACCCAGUGCAGGACUGAAGUGUAAAAAGCAAAACUUCAAUGGAGCUCUUGGCCUCCCAAAUGCUCUAUCCCUAAAUUAGAAAAAGAGGGCCCUUGGGACUAGAAAUUGGCAACCUACUCCUGAGUAGAUAGAUAUACUUGAGACUUGACACCAGAUUCCCUAAAUCCUCUGGGCCUGCAGAAGGUACCUACAAUGGUUAAUGUUAUGUGUCAAGUUGGCUAGACUAUGGUACUCAGAUAUGUGGUCAAACUCUAGUCUAUGUUGCUGUGAAGGCAUUUUUUUUUUUUUUAGCUGAGCCAUCCUGCCACCUGUUGACAGCUCAGCAGCAGCUCAGCUCU